CCUACGGGAGGCAGCAGUGGGGAAUAUUGGACAAUGGGCGAAAGCCUGAUCCAGCAAUGCCGCGUGAGUGAUGAAGGCCCUAGGGUUGUAAAGCUCUUUUACCAGGGAUGAUAAUGACAGUACCUGGAGAAUAAGCUCCGGCUAACUCCGUGCCAGCAGCCGCGGUAAUA
rnacentral:rRNA from 1 species